CACGUAGGGCGCAAGCGUUGUCCGGAAUUAUUGGGCGUAAAGAGCUCGUAGGCGGUCUGUUGCGUCCGCUGUGAAAACCCGGGGCUUAACCCUGGGCUGGCAGUGGAUACGGACAGACUAGAGGUAGGUAGGGGAGAAUGGAAUCCCGGUGUAGCGGUGAAAUGCGCAGAUAUCGGGAGGAACACCAGUGGCGAAGGCGAUCAUCCUGGGGUUGUUCUGACACUGAGGAGCGAAAGCUAGGGGAGCAAACGGG
rnacentral:rRNA from 1 species